UACGAAGGGGGCUAGCGUUGUUCGGAUUUACUGGGCGUAAAGCGCACGUAGGCGGAUCGAUCAGUCAGGGGUGAAAUCCCAGGGCUCAACCCUGGAACUGCCUUUGAUACUGUCGAUCUGGAGUAUGGAAGAGGUGAGUGGAAUUCCGAGUGUAGAGGUGAAAUUCGUAGAUAUUCGGAGGAACACCAGUGGCGAAGGCAGCUCUCUGGGACGGUACUGACGCUGAGACGCGAAAGCGUGGGGAGCGAACAGG
rnacentral:rRNA from 1 species